UGAAUGUCAAAUUCAUCAACAUUUGAGAAAGGAAGACAGAUACUCUUGAUUUAAAUUAGUGUCUGAAGAUUUGUUCGGAGGCACUAAGUUUUACCAAAAAUAGGGGGGUUAAGGAGGAGAUUCAUCAAGUCAAAAACAGGUGCUAUUCUGCAACAAAGUGCUAAUUAAGGAGUAAUCACUAGCAAACCAAUAUAGCAUCUCACACCAAGAAUUUGUAGUCUAAAGGGUUACCCCAACCACCAUGACCACUUCUGCUUUUAGUCCUCACUCACU